AUCCAGCUGACGAGUGCGAAGUGGGACGAAACGUGCGUCAAACUGGAU
rfam:Schistosoma rodhaini strain Burundi genome assembly, scaffold: SROB_scaffold0000007